rnacentral:tRNA from 1 species
UGGGUACUGGCGGGGUGGCUCUGGCCGCGCUGAAGCUUGCCAAGCUUCACGGUGCCCGAGUGGCGAUCACAUCGUCAAGUGACGAG